GGGAUUGCGGCUCAGAGGGAGAGCACUCGCCUCGCAUGCGUGAGGCACUGGGUUCGAUCCUCAGCCCCA
rnacentral:tRNA from 1 species